UGUUAUUCUAAAUUUAAUUAUUCUAAAUUUCAUUGCUAAUAACCUUCCAUCAGAACAUAUCCAGACCAUUUAUGCUGAUUUGUCGUCAUUCUCUAAUCCUUCUACAAUCACUGGUAAUGAUUAUCGGCCUGAUUUACUAAUUUUGACGAAAGACAAUUGUCUGUAUAUUCUGGAAUUAACCGUUGGAUAUGAGACUAACCUCAGAAAUAAUGUUAACAGGAAAUACUCCAAGUAUAAAGAUAUGAUUAUGGAACAAAAGAAAAAUUAUCAUGCGGUAAACUUCAUCAACCUUUCGAUUAGUGCACUUGGUGUGUUUGACAAAGAAUCUUCUGGUUUUAUAGACAUGUUAGAACAUUUUAAUUUAGACAAAGCUCAUGUAAGAUACGUUAUUAAAAAGAUUAUUAAUAUUGCAAUAAGGUCAACCUACUACAUUUUUUAUUGUCGAAAUAAGAACUGGGUGAAUCCAGACUUGAUGAAACUUUAAAAUUUUUAUUGUAUAAGUAUGUAUAUAGAGUAAUAGAGUAAAUUUAAUCGUACGUUAUAAAAUCAUUUAAUAGUAAUAUAUCGAGUUGCCAAUUGUAAAUUACCUUAUAUAGUGAGAUUUUCAGUUGUAAGUUUAGAAAAUUAAAUAAAGUUUCCAUUAUUAUGUAAAGAAUUAAUUACGGAACAAAAUAAACAUUUCAACUCAGUAAAAUUUGUAAAUCUUUCGAUUAGUUCUCUUGGUGUUUUUUAGUAAAGAAUGUUCUACUUUCAUAGAAAUGCUUAAUGAUUUUGGUUUUCAAAAGCAACAUCAGAAUUACUGUAUUAGAAGAAUGACGACGAUUGCAAUCCGAACAACG